rnacentral:rRNA from 1 species
UAUGUCAGUAGUGAAAGCGUGUGGCUCAACCAUAUAUACAUUACUGAAACUGCUAAGCUAGAGGGCGAGAGAGGUAACUAGAAUUCCUUGUGUAGGAGUGGAAUCCGUAGAUAUAAGGAGGAAUACCGAUGGCGUAGGCAGGUUACUGGCUCGUCCCUGACACUAAGGCACGAAAGCGUGGGAGCAAACGGGAUUAGAUACCCCGGUAGUCCACGCCGUAAACGAUGGAUGCUA